CUGUGUCGCUGGGAGUCCCCGCCACUGAGAGCCCGCGUCUGCUGACCGCUCCUUCCUUCCAUCUGUUUUCUCUCUCCGGUCUCCUCUCUCUCACCCAAAAACAGGUGCAGCGGCGGCGGAGACGGCCUCGACAACAGCGAGGGUGGAGACGCUGCGACACCAUGUGAGCUCGAACUCUGAUGUUGGAAUCUUCCCAUAUGCUUUUACUUUUCUGUUCAUGUUUUUCCUGUGAAUUUUGGGGAUUUUUGUUUGGUGAAAUGGGCAUAUUGGAUGUGCCGGCUAGAUAGAUGAGGCCAGAGGAUCAAGUGGCUAUAGAGAAGAUGGAGGAGGAGCAGAUGGAUGCCGCAUAUUCUCAGCAUGAAAGCAUACAACUUCCGGAUAGAUCUGUAUCAUUUCGUUUGAGUACCGUUGUUGGGGCUAAAGGAGCUGUGGUGGAUCCGUGCUCUUUGUAGCUAGCAUGCCUCUGGUGAUUUUAUAUACUCACAUGGUGUUCCUCAGACCAUAUGUGAUUACUGAUACAUUUCCACCGCGGCUGUAUAAGUAAAGAAAAUUUCGAUCAGCAUGAUGAAUUAAUUGAAUUGUCACCGAAUGGAGUCUUGUGGUUCUUCAAAA